rnacentral:rRNA from 1 species
UACGUAGGGUGCGAGCGUUAAUCGGAAUUACUGGGCGUAAAGCGUGCGCAGGCGGUUUUGUAAGCCAGGUGUGAAAUCCCCGGGCUCAACCUGGGAAUGGCAUUUGGGACUGCAAGGCUGGAGUGUGGCAGAGGAGACUGGAAUUCCUGGUGUAGCAGUGAAAUGCGUAGAUAUCAGGAGGAACACCGAUGGCGAAGGCAGGUCUCUGGGCAUUAACUGACGCUGAGGAGCGAAAGCAUGGGGAGCGAACAGG